rnacentral:snRNA from 1 species
AUUCUUGCACAGUGGCAAUAUCGUAAGCAAUGAAGGUCUCUUGAGGUGUGAUUAUUGUUAGUUGAAAACUUUUACCAAUAAGGCGCCACGGUACCCGAGCGGUUAAGAGGCGAGACCUGUAAAGAU